CUGUGGCACAUAUUUGUAGUAUUAAAACAAUCGAGGCCUCUAACUUCGAGAUCACUCAUCAUAAAAAAAUCAUAAUUUUAGCUAAGGAUUGAGCAAAUCAGUCAACAACUACCUCCAAAAUCUAGAUCCCACCAUGAAAAAACAGCAGGCUUGCGGCGACCUCCAGACAUUACGCCUUGUUACUGGGCCCGUGGAGCACUUCGACCAUGCGCGACUUGACGAAGCUGGAGGCGCAAGCAAUGGAGGUCAGAGAUGGGCAUUGCGAGCAUGUGUUUGACAGCGAGCAGCGGCGCGGGCACCCACUUCGGUUUCUUUGACGAAGGCCAUGGCGGACCUGCCUUCGAUUGUUGCUGGCCGUGGGGCAGCAUCUGAUGGAGCAACAACUCUGAUACUAUGAGCGAGCUGCGAGCCUGUGUGGAUAGGGGAACAGGGAGCCGACGUAGCUUCUCUCCUCUUGGAGCAGCUGGGAGCCGAGGAGAAAGGUUGUACGUACCGCUUCCGCUAAUUAUAUUUUUUGUAAUGAGUGAUCUGGAUGUUGGAGGUGCCUAAUUGUUUUAAUGUUGAAAAAUA
rnacentral:lncRNA from 7 species